UGGGGAAUUUUGCACAAUGGGGGAAACCCUGAUGCAGCGACGCCGCGUGAUUUAGAAGGCCUUCGGGUUGUAAAAAUCUUUUCUAUGGGAAGAAAAUGACAGUACCAUAGGAAUAAGGACCGGCUAAUUACGUGCCAGCAGCCGCGGUAAUACGUAAGGUCCGAGCGUUGUCCGGAAUCAUUGGGCGUAAAGGGUACGUAGGCGGGUAAGCAAGUUAGAAGUGAAAUCCUGUAGCUCAACUACAGUAAGCUUUUAAAACUGCUCAUCUUGAGAUAUGGAAGGGAAAGUGGAAUCCUAGUGUAGCGGUGAAAUGCGCAGAUAUUAGGAGGAAUACCGGUGGCGAAGGCGACUUUCUGGCCAUAAUCUGACGCUGAGGUACGAAAGCGUGGGUAGCAAACAGG
rnacentral:rRNA from 1 species